AUAACAAUUUUUUAAUUCAAUCAUUGAGAUUCGUGUAAAUUAAUGUGGUCCGAUGGAUAAAAAAAUCUUCAUUUCGAUGGAUACGAUUGUCGACUGAGAAAUAACUAUAUUUUA